rnacentral:rRNA from 1 species
GACGAACGCUGGCGGCGUGCCUAAUACAUGCAAGUCGAGCGGACGAUUCGAAAGCUUGCUUUUGAAUCGUUAGCGGCGGACGGGUGAGUAACACGUGGGCAACCUGCCCUGUAGACGGGGAUAACACCGAGAAAUCGGUGCUAAUACCGGAUAACACGAAAUGUCGCAUGACGUUUCGUUGAAAGGCGGCGCAAGCUGCCGCUACAGGAUGGGCCCGCGGCGCAUUAGCUAGUUGGUGAGGUAACGGCUCACCAAGGCGACGAUGCGUAGCCGACCUGAGAGGGUGAUCGGCCACACUGGGACUGAGACACGGCCCAGACUCCUACGGGAGGCAGCAGUAGGGAAUCUUCCGCAAUGGACGAAAGUCUGACGGAGCAACGCCGCGUGAGCGAAGAAGGCCUUCGGGUCGUAAAGCUCUGUUAUUAGGGAAGAACAAGUAACGUAGUAACUGACGUUACUAUGACGGUACCUAACGAGAAAGCCACGGCUAACUACGUG